AGUAACACGUGGGUAACCUGCCCAUCAGAGGGGGAUAACAUUCGGAAACGGAUGCUAAAACCGCAUAGGUCCUUUAACCGCAUGGUUGAAGGAGGAAAAGAGGCGCAAGCUUCUGCUGAUGGAUGGACCCGCGGUGCAUUAGCUAGUUGGUAAGGUAACGGCUCACCAAGGCCGUGAUGCAUAGCCGACCUGAGAGGGUGAUCGGCCACAUUGGGACUGAGACACGGCCCAA
rnacentral:rRNA from 1 species